ACUGUCAGACUAGCCAUGCACGUCUAGUACAAACUAAAUGAUGGUGAACUGCAGAUGGCGGAUUACAACGGUUAUGAUGUACCCGGGAGUUCCGAUGGAUAUUUCCAGUAACACUAGAACUAAUACAUGUCCCUGCGUUUAUUAGUUUCGCACAGUUCGUCGCUGAGUCAUGGUAAACAGUUGAUCGACUCGACGUCCCGGAACAGUUUCCGCCCCAUCAGCUUCGAUGGUUGGGUAUUGGCCUACCAUUGCAACAACGGGUAACGAGGAAUUAGGGUUUGAUUUCGGAGAGGGAGCCUGAGAAACGGCUACCACAUCUACGGAUGGCAGCAGGCGCGCAAAUUACCCAAUGCAGACACUGUGAGGUAGUGACGAGAAAUAAUAAAGCGGGACUUCUGUUUCGCUAUUAUAAUGAGGGAAUAACCAAAGGUCAUUCCGAUUAGCAACUGAUGGGAAAGUCUGGUGUCAGCAGCCGCGGUAAUACCAGCGUCAGUAGCAUA
rnacentral:rRNA from 1 species